CGUGGCUCCAACUCCGAUCACUACUGCGCAGACUCUGGCUCCAAAUUACGUCACCAACGCAAGAUGGCAGCUCCAGUAUCCAAGGAAACUAAAAAACAAAUCCUGAUGAAGUUUCCUGUUUCUGCAGAAUAAACUGACCUUGAUGGAAAGCAAAAUAUUAACAAAUGGUGGAGCAUCUGGACAGCAUGAGAAAGGUCACUGGAGCAGCGCAGACAUAAACAUAAUAAUCCCUUUGAGCACCGUGGGGGGAAAGGAUGCCUAUAUGUGGAAGCGAGGAGAAAGGGAGGCGUGGCGGGCCCUACAGGGCCGCGUUGGGGAACUUGACAUGGUGGAACGGCUGAAUUACAUUGGAAGGCCUGAGAACAGUCAAGCAUCCAGACUGUUGGAGUGGAGUGACUGUCUGUCUGGGGCUGGUACACACACACACACACACACACACACACACACACACACACACACACAAUCUGCUUGUCUGUCUCCUUUUCCUCUUUCCAUUUCCCCCUCUCCACGCCUCUGUCCUUUAUGCCUUUUCUCUCUAAAACACUUAUUUUUUUCGAACCCAUCUGUCAUCCACGGCAACUUUUACUUCCUUUAUUCUUUCUUUAUUGGUGACUUCUCUUCUCUCCUUCCAGUCCUCCCAUUGUUUCCAUCUCCGUGUCCCACACCUGUUAGCUUUCUGUGUAACGUCUAACAUUUUCCACCAGUAUUGGCUAAACACUGAAUGAUCAAAUUUCUCCUGCAAGGCUGUUUCACCUCCCUCGCAGUGCAUAAAAGGUUUCAGCUGUCUAGUUUCGGCCAAGCAAUCCAA